UACGUAGGGGGCAAGCGUUGUCCGGAUUUAUUGGGCGUAAAGAGCGUGUAGGCGGCUUGGUAGGUCCGCUGUGAAAACUCGAGGCUCAACCUCGAGCUGUCGGUGGAAACUGUCUGGCUAGAGUCCGGAAGGGGAGAGUGGAAUUCCCGGUGUAGCGGUGAAAUGCGCAGAUAUCGGGAAGAACACCCGUGGCGAAGGCGGCUCUCUGGGACGGUACUGACGCUGAGACGCGAAAGCGUGGGGAGCGAACAGG
rnacentral:rRNA from 1 species